rnacentral:rRNA from 1 species
UACGUAGGGGGCAAGCGUUGUCCGGAUUUAUUGGGCGUAAAGAGCGUGUAGGCGGCCAGGUAGGUCGGUUGUGAAAACUGGAGGCUCAACCUCCAGACGUCGACCGAAACCAUCUGGCUAGAGUCCGGAAGAGGAGAGUGGAAUUCCUGGUGUAGCGGUGAAAUGCGCAGAUAUCAGGAGGAACACCAAUUGCGAAGGCAGCUCGCUGGGACGUUACUGACGCUGAGACGCGAAAGCGUGGGGAGCAAACAGG